CCACUUCUGACGUACAAAAAUCUCCGUUGCAUUGCCCUGUGGCUGUGAAUCACUAGAUUCACUACUCUUAUAUAUCUCGUUGGUUGAAUCAUUUUUCGGUAAGUAAUACGUACGUAUAUUUACUAAAUUUCUAUCUUAUCAAAAUAAUAAAAUAGAUUAGGCAGUGGUUAUCAAACUAUCGUACAACUUGUGCCUCAUGUCUUCUUUGUUAAUCAUGGUCCCCAGAUAAAAUGUAACACACACAAGUCCCAAGUGUUUGUUUGCGUGUGAUUAAGACUAACCCUAAUGGCAGAAAAACAAAUAAAAUAUUUUACGGUUGCUCGUCAACAAAAAUGCAUCUCUUUUGUCAAAAAAAAAAAACAAAAUGUAUCUCUAAAUAUACAUAAGCGGAAGGACACUGCCG
rnacentral:lncRNA from 1 species